GAUCCCAGGACCCUGAUACCAUGACCUGAGCCGAAGGCAGAGGCUUAACCCACUGAGCCACCCAGGCACCCCAGGGCUCCCCUCUUUCCACCUCUGAUAUUGAACCCCAGACCCAAGCCUGCUCUCUAGCCUGCCUCUGUUCAAGCCUCUUGCACACAUCCUCCAGGUGCCAUCUGGGCCCCUUCCCAGAGCUUGUCUGGCCAUUAUCAUCGUUUCAUACCGGUCACUGGCCGUCCUGUAUGUGAACAAAGUCUGUGCUCCCCACGCACCCUGUCCCUCUGCAGUCCUCUGCCUGUGACUGUAGCCAGGGACCGGGGUUCUAGAGAGCACCUGCUCAGCCCUCUGCACCUGGGGCCAGGCCCUCGUCACCCUUCUCCCUGACCUCCCCACCAUCCCUCCCAGGGACACCGAAACAACAGG